UGCCCACUGCCCACUAAUAUUAGUAACCAAAGAAGUGGCAGUCUGGCAGUUUAUAACCCAAAUCCAUAGGAAGACAAAUAGUCGCAGAUGGAGAAAACCAAAGAAAAUGGAGAAGAAAGAAGAAGAGGAAAGAAGAAGAAAGAAGGACGACUCAGGCGGUGGGAGGGCGACGGUGACGGCGAUGGGCGAUGGCUGUGGGAGGGCGAUGGCGAUGGCUGUGGGAGACAUUAGUCGACGCACUAGAUCUGAAAUCCUUUCUUCUUCUCUCUUCUUAUUAGUUAAAGCCAAAAUUCCAUGUAAAAAUGGAGAACAUCUACAAGGAUGAAUGCAGGUAUUAUUUACAUGCCAUUUAACUAUAUUUGCUAAUUGGUUAAUAUACUACUCUCCAUCUUGUCAACCAAAACGGGGAAGAAAAGGAAAAUGUAAUUUUACCUGUACAGAGAGAUGGCGAAAGCUAGGAUAGAACCGAAUCUUACAGUACUCGUUAAAGAACAAAGUGAGAAUCAUGAGCGGUAUUGUGGCAAAGGAAGCUGAAGGCUUCGAUUUGAGUCCAAAAAGACCGAUCAUAGUAAUUUGCAUGAUGACGAGUGCAACAAUAAUGUAGUGAUGAAUGCAUGGCCAGAACUGUCCGUGUGUUUCAUAUGAAGUUAUAUACACGUCUUCAAUCUGUAUCACACAUACCACCAUCUAUUUAUCACAUUCGUUGCUGCUUGUAGAAGCAUUACCGUUGAACAAAAAGUUCAUAUCAAAGUAUUUGUAAUCACGGGAUGCUUAGGGCA